CACCUAGAAUUAGAGAAGAAAUGCAGCCCUUAAAAAAAAUAAAACCUAAUUUGGGUACUAUAAUUUAAAAGCAUGUAUUCAGAGGUAGGGAGACAUGUCCUAAGGUUCUCUUUUAUAGAAUAGAUACAAAUCCUAAGAUUGCAUGUUUGCUUUUAUUCCUUUCACAAUAAAAUAACUUUUACUAAACAACAAAGCUUUCAACUUUUUAAAAGACCUAUCUUUUUUUGUCAUAUGUUUCCCAAAUAUUAAUUUGUUAUACAAACCCCAAACUGAGGUUAUAAGAGAUCAAAACAGUGUGACAGGGUCAUUAAUUUAAUAGACUUCAAAAGAGGUCAUUAGGAUGCUGACUGAAAAUGUGCCCUUAUGUCUCAAUAACAGCAUAAGCAGGGCACCACUCACUCAGCAACAUCCUGGGGCCAAUACCAAGGCCAGACCUAUUAGAAUGCUCAUGAUAAACUAAAUGGCCAUAUCUUCAAUGCAUUAUACUUCAAUAAUGACCAUGAAGAACCAGAAGGACCUAUUAUAAAAUCAUCAGUUGUAAAAUUAAUGAUGGUGACCUUCUCCUAAAUGAAAAGACUAUAUCCUAUAAUGUUCUGUGUAUAAACUGGUAAGUAACAAGAUUUUUACUAAGUGACAAUCAUAAGCAUAUUUAGAACAGAACACACUGCUUCUUUUUUAAAAGCUGCCUGUAAUAUGAGACAUUUGCUUAUUACUAUCUGUUCAAUAUAAACUAAAAAACUUAAUUUUCCAGCAACAAUCUUUAAAAUUGCUUUUUAAAAGUUUUUGUUUUACAGUUUUAUUAUCUAAGACAGUUGAGUUACUGACCAGAUCAAAAUGAUCUCUGUAUGGGGAAGGAAUUUAUUUUCACUAUUCUUUUGAGCAGUUUUAUUUAUAAACCUUAUAUGAAGAAAAAUAUCACUGCUGGGUUUAACAAGAGAUAACACAACUUUUUUUAAUCUCACAAAUUACCUUCUUGACAAGUAAAUGUAUACAAGAAUGUAAAAUCUGCAUUUCACUUACAUAAGCGAUUUUAAGAUUCUGGAAGGUCUUAUGUACAAAUAUUUGCCAAAAACCUUCAAAUUAACUGUAUUUUGAUACAUUUAAAUGUUAAAUUUAUUUGUAGAAAAAGGACAUAAGUUUACUGAAGGAAUAUCAGAAAGUAUAUGAUUAUUCACUUUAUUAGUGGAACUAGUUUGUCCAAGGGCCAAUAGCAAGGCCACUUCCUCGCCAUCUAAUAAAAUAGACAUAUGUGCAGUGAAGCAUAAGACUGCUCUAGUAGAAAAAUGUGUAUAUCACAGUCAUCAAAAAAGGAACAAAAUAGUGAAUUUGUAAAAGUGAAAUGUAAUUAACAUUCUUAAGUAUUACUUUGAUAAAGCUAUAAGGUGAACAUGUUUCAUGUUUAAAUUUCCACAGUUUCUCUCUGAAAUGUGCUUUUUCCUGAGUUCUAAAAACAGGUAAUGCAUAUGAAUAAAUAAAACCAUGUAGUUAUGGACACCAAUAAAAGAAAAAUAAUUCUACAAACUAAUAAGGCAACAUACUAACAAUCUAGGUAUACCUUUGUCUGACCAUCCCAUUGACGGUAAACCAAGACCUGUGAUCUCUCUUCAUGAAGCUUUCCCAAAACUAGCCUGCCCAUACCAACUUGAUUCUUUCCAGCACUUAACAUAAAGUCAGCCUUGCUUGGGGCCCUACGUUAUAACCUUUAUUAUUAUUUUUAACCUGCUUGGCUUUUCUGUCAGUUUUUACUAUUUUAUACCAGAAUAAACCAACAGACAGUAAUGCUAUGAUUUUAUUUUUUUGAGUGUUAAUGACUUAUUACAUUAUAGUUUGGUGCAAAAGUAACUGCAGUUUUUGCUGAAAAAUACAUUUAAUGGCAAAAACC